UACGGAGGGUGCGAGCGUUGUCCGGAUUUAUUGGGUUUAAAGGGUGCGUAGGUGGCUGUUUAAGUCAGUGGUGAAAUACGGUUGCUCAACAAUCGAGGUGCCAUUGAUACUGAAUAGCUUGAAAUAAUUGGAGGCUGCCGGAAUGGAUGGUGUAGCGGUGAAAUGCAUAGAUAUCAUCCAGAACACCGAUUGCGAAGGCAGGUGGCUACGAUUGGUUUGACACUGAGGCACGAAAGCAUGGGGAGCAAAAGGG
rnacentral:rRNA from 1 species